CUACGGGUCGCUGCAGUGGGGAAUAUUGCACAAUGGGGGAAACCCUGAUGCAGCGACGCCGCGUGAAGGAUGAAGGUCUUCGGAUCGUAAACUUCUAUCAGCAGGGAAGAAACAAAUGACGGUACCUGACUAAGAAGCUCCGGCUAACUACGUGCCAGCAGCCGCGGUAAUACGUAGGGAGCGAGCGUUAUCCGGAUUUACUGGGUGUAAAGGGUGCGUAGGCGGCCUGGUAAGUUAGAAGUGAAAUUUUGGGGCUCAACCCCAGAGCUGCUUCUAAAACUGCUGGGCUAGAGUGCAGGAGAGGAAAGCGGAACUCCACGUGUAGCGGUGAAAUGCGUAGAGAUGUGGAGGAACACCAGUAGCGAAGGCGGCUUUCUGGACUGUAACUGACGCUGAGGCACGAAAGCGUGGGGAGCAAACAGGAUUAGAUACCCCAGUAGUC
rnacentral:rRNA from 1 species